AUUGAACGCUGGCGGCAGGCCUAACACAUGCAAGUCGAGCGGAUGAAGGGAGCUUGCUCCUGGAUUCAGCGGCGGACGGGUGAGUAAUGCCUAGGAAUCUGCCUGGUAGUGGGGGAUAACGUCCGGACACGGGCGCUAAUACCGCAUACGUCCUGAUGGAGGAAGUGGGGGAUCUUCGGACCUCACGCUAUCAGAUGAGCCUAGGUCGGAUUAGCUAGUUGGUGGGGUAAAGGCCUACCAAGGCGACGAUCCGUAACUGGUCUGAGUGGAUGAUCAGUCACACUGGAACUGAGACACGGUCCAGACUCCUACGGCAGGCAGCAGUGGGGAAUAUUGGACAAUGGGCGAAAGCCUGAUCCAGCCAUGCCGCGUGUGUGAAGAAGGUCUUCGGAUUGUAAAGCACUUUAAGUUGGGAGGAAGGGCAGUAAGUUAAUACCUUGCUGUUUUGACGUUACCAACAGAAUAAGCACCGGCUAACUUCGUG
rnacentral:rRNA from 1 species